rnacentral:rRNA from 1 species
AUUGAACGCUGGCGGCAUGCCUUACACAUGCAAGUCGAACGGCAGCACGGGGCAACCUGGUGGCGAGUGGCGAACGGGUGAGUAAUGUAUCGGAACGUGCCAUUGAGUGGGGGAUAACGUAGCGAAAGUUACGCUAAUACCGCAUAUACCCUGAGGGGGAAAGCAGGGGAUCGCAAGACCUUGUGCUCUUUGAGCGGCCGAUAUCAGAUUAGCUAGUUGGUGAGGUAAAGGCUCACCAAGGCGACGAUCUGUAGCGGGUCUGAGAGGAUGAUCCGCCACACUGGGACUGAGACACGGCCCAGACUCCUACGGGAGGCAGCAGUGGGGAACUUUGGACAAUGGGCGCAAGCCUGAUCCAGCCAUGCCGCGUGAGUGAAGAAGGCCUUCGGGUUGUAAAGCUCUUUCGGCCGGGAAGAAAUCGUACAGGUUAAUACCCUGUGUGGAUGACGGUACCGGAAUAAGAAGCACCGGCUAACUACGUGCCAGCCGCCGCGGUAAUAC